rnacentral:rRNA from 1 species
CCUACGGGAGGCAGCAGUAGGGAAUUUUCGUCAAUGGGCGCAAGCCUGAACGAGCGAUGCCGCGUGAGUGAAGAAGGCCUUCGGGUCGUAAAGCUCUGUUGCGGGGGAAAAAAGGCAGCAUCAGGAAAUGGGUGCUGACUGAUGGUGCCCCGCCAGAAAGUCACGGCUAACUACGUGCCAGCAGCCGCGGUAAUACGUAGGUGGCGAGCGUUAUCCGGAAGGAUUGGGCGUAAAGGGUGCGCAGGCGGGCCUGCAAGUCUGGAGUGAAACGCAUGAGCUCAACUCAUGCAUGGCUUUGGAAACUGGAGGACUGGAGAGCAGGAGAGGGCGGUGGAACUCCAUGUGUAGCGGUAAAAUGCGUAGAUAUAUGGAAGAACACCAGUGGCGAAGGCGGCCGCCUGGCCUGUUGCUGACGCUGAGGCACGAAAGCGUGGGGAGCAAAUAGGAUUAGAUACCCCUGUAGUC